rnacentral:lncRNA from 9 species
AGAGCAGGAACUUGGUAGAUAUUGGCUGAGAUGAUUCAGACCCCAUGGGAAAAUGACUUGACCCAGGACGCUGUACCAGAGGGUCUCCCACUGUGCAGAGAACGGGGGACUUGAAGAUGGACAUCGAAUCACUGAUCAUCUAGAGAAGAGGAAUCCAGACUGCCACCCCUUCGGCACCAGAUCAGGGAAGAGGCCAGAUUGCAGGACCAGGAGCUGGAAGAGGCCCGGGCUUGCCUCCAAGUUCCAAAAGCAUUGCUGUCACAUUUACACCUCGUCCCAUUUAGACUGUGCACCAACUAUGGUGUCCUCAGACUUUGCCCUGUUGAGGCAAGUUAGAUGGUUCUUUUGAUCUUUUUGCAGGACGCCCUGACUCCUGGUCGUCUGGCUGCCACCGUCAUCGAGCACUUACUUGGAACUCUGCGGGGCCUUCAGAGCCUCACGGACACUGCUCCCAGCUUCACAAUCACGUCACAAAGCAGCUGGUUUCACCCGGGUUUAAAGGCAAGAAAACUGUAACUGGAAAGGUUGGAGAUGGGCCCAAAACAACAGCCAGCAGCGGCCAAGCAGA